rnacentral:rRNA from 1 species
UAGUCCACGCCGUAAACGAUGAUAACUAGCUGUUCGGGCCCACAGGGCUUGAGUGGCGCAGCUAACGCAUUAAGUUAUCCGCCUGGGGAGUACGGUCGCAAGAUUAAAACUCAAAGGAAUUGACGGGGGCCUGCACAAGCGGUGGAACAUGUGGUUUAAUUCGAAGCAACGCGCAGAACCUUACCAACCCUUGACAUCCUGAUCGCGGUUUCUCGAGAGAGAUUCCUUCAGUUCGGCUGGAUCAGUGACAGGUGCUGCAUGGCUGUCGUCAGCUCGUGUCGUGAGAUGUUCGGUUAAGUCCGGCAACGAGCGCAACCCACGUCUUUAGUUGCCAGCAGGUUAAGCUGGGCACUCUAAAGAAACUGCCGGUGAUAAGCCGGAGGAAGGUGUGGAUGACGUCAAGUCCUCAUGGCCCUUACGGGUUGGGCUACACACGUGCCACAAUGGUAGUGACAAUGGGUUAAUCCCCAAAAACUAUCUCAGUUCGGAUUGGGGUCUGCAACUCCG